UCUAUGGAGGUGCUUUUUCGGAGGCUAUUCUCUGUGCACCGCAGCAGGAUUCUUGGCUCCCAGUCCAACGCGCCUUUCUCGUGCCAAGUUUUCAAAAUGCCGGUUUUGCCUUUCCUUUUAUUGUUCCUUUCGCAAGCACUUAAGACGACACAGCUGCUAACAGAAAGGGGAAAAUUCAAUUUUUCUUCGGAGACCACCCCGGGACUGAAAUCGCGGGACAUCUACAAAGGCAUUGGAGGCGGGAAGGGGCAUGGUUGUUUCUCACAUUCAAGACCUUUGGAUUUUAUUUCUCCUUCUCCAAAAUGACCAAGGAUGCCAGAACAUCAAGAUACGAAGUCUGUCCUUGCCUUGCUGGGCUUUGCUGAAGAGCUCACAGCAGGAGUGGAAAUCAUUACGUGGUCCUCCAGAAGUCCUUGGCGUGAAACACACAACAUCCUCCUCCCAAUUCCUUCCCACCCCCAGUUUACUUCAACUGCUGUCAACUGAAUUCAAAUUAAAAUAUUCAAUUAAUUCAAUAAAGGAAAAGGAAAGAAAGAGUGGAAUAAUUUCCCUUCCCAACAGGAUCAGGGAAAAGCAAACUGCAGCAGCUUCCUCUACGUUAUGUGCUUUUCCUCCUGAAUAAUUUUUGCCAUCUUGAUCUAUUUUUAUUUUAUUGGUAUCUAUUUUUAUUUCAUCAGAAUACUUCUUUAUGUUUAUAAAACCAUACGGCACUUUAUCAUUGUUACUCAUUUCCAUGAUAUAGCACUUUAUGAAACCUGUCCCCUCUGGUUCGCUUUUAAUUGCUCUGAUUUUAUCUGCUUGUAUUUUAAUGUAUUGUCCAUUAUAUUAUUUUGUGUAUCGUUGAAAUGUUUUAAGUUUUGUCAAAUAUGUUGUGUCGUUCAGGCUUGUCCCUGUUGUGAGCCGCCCCGAGUUCCUUUGGGGAGAUGGGGCGGGAUGUAAAAAUAAAGAUUAUUACCUAUUAUUAUUA